rnacentral:misc_RNA from 1 species
GAUAAGGGCUGGCUUGCCUGCGCAGACACCUCGCUGUAUCAGACAGACCGAGGUGACGCUAUCGCAGGCAAGCCAGCUCCCACA